GCUGGGUUCAUAUUCUGACGUCUAUGGCCUACAACCUGUAAACUGACUGGAAAGUAGAGUGAAUAUCAUGAAGAGGUCCAUGGCUCUUGAGAAUAAACAAUUCCAUUGUUUCACAUCCUCCCCAAAACAUAGUGCUGAAAAGCCAACAGGGAAUAUCAUCUGUACUUGCCGAUUUCUGCUUUUUUCUUGAUUGCUCUUUGACCAUGAUAGACAAAUGAAUCUAUUAUUCCAGCAAUUGUGAAAAUACCUCCAAAUACUGCACAAAUAUUUG
rnacentral:misc_RNA from 1 species